CUUUCUGUGGCUCUCACCUAUCUGGACCAGACUUUGCAAGCCCCUACCUUGCAUUCCCUGUGAGCUUAGUUUGCAUUCCUGGGUGGGGAUCUCCAUGCAGUCCUCUCACUGUUGUAUGGGGUCUGGAUACCUGAUCUAUGUGGUAAACAGGCUGAGUGGCAAUCACCUUGUGCAAAGCCGUACAGCUCAGAUAGCAGAGCUGGAACUGAAAUGCAUCUGCUGAUCCCAGAUCUGCUGCUUUUCCACAGUGCAGGUGCCUCCUACCGCUUGUGUCUCCACUCUCUGGGCCCCAUGAAGCAUAUCGAACCACGCAUCUGAGUGUACUGGACUCUACUAAUGGAGCAAAUGGAGAAUACUGAGAAAGUGGACAUUCUUGGAACUAUAAGAACUCAAGCAAAAAAAGAGAGCGUAUCAGCAGUUGGACAGUCCAGGACUGUGGAUCCAGGAACCCCAAUACCGUGAUGGGAUCCGGGUCUCCAUCUUUUGGCUUUCUUUUCUUCUGUGAUGCCUUCUAAGGUAGGCCCUGCCCAUGUGAUUUCUGGUGAUUCUGACAUCUUACAACUCCUACUUACCUAGCAAUCCUAGCAGAGAGAGAGGGGUUUUCCCUUCUCAGUGUGUCCAGUGCAAUCCCUGAGUUGAGUUUGAGUGUCAGGCUGAUGGCCUGAACUGGGAUCUACCCGCCUGGACUGGGCACUGUGUCUUUGUGGGGGGAACCCAUGUACAUGAACAGCAGAGGGGUGGGGUGGUCCCCAAAGGAAAGCAAGUGUAGUUUCCAGGGGAGGAAGGAAUGAAUGCUGAACAGGCAGAAAUAGCAUUUUAAACCUCUUGACAGUGGGGCUUUAUUGUGUAAACCUAUUGGAACACACAGUGAAUAAAACUGCCAAGUACUCAUCAUAAAUUUUUUCAAGUAAGUUUGGAAGGCAAUAAAAUACUCGUGCCAUGUAAACAUGGGGUUUGGUCUUUUUUGAUGAUUCAGAAACCUCACUGGGUCCUGUAGUGACACAGUCAGCACUGAGUGUUAAAAUACCCUUGUUAUUGACCAUACAAUUGUGUGGCUUUUUGAUAAACGGAUGUUAUGGUACAGAGUACAGAACACAGGGAGGCCGGGAUGUUCAUUUCUGGACUGUGGACUCGAAUCCUCCUGUGUGGAGUCCUUAGAGGGCUGAAGCACCAGCACAAGCUGUCUCAUUUAAUCCACAUGCCCUCUGCUGUCCCCAUAACUGCCCAGCGCAGACGGGCAGUUGAGGCUCAGAGAGGCUAAGCGACUGGGCAAUACCUCAGGGUUGUUCAGGGGCCUAGAAGAAAUGAUAUUUGUGAAACUUUGUGAACAGUAAAGGUGUUUUUGAAUGGCACCCUGGAUGAAAGGGUGUGCUAGAGAGAUGCAAGAAGCUAUUUAGACUGAGAGAAAAGAAUGAGUUUGGGGGUGUUUUUACAUUGGGUAUACAGUUUAUAGGCAUAUGACAAAUAUAUCAAAGAGCUUUGGGUACAGUAGCUGUGUGUGCAUGUCCAUGGUACCUGGUGCAGGUUAGUAUCUAGGCCUACUCAGUAAUCCCUUCUGGAUGGGGACACACACACACACACAAACAUAUGUGCAUGCAUACUGAAAUGUUGAGGGGCUUGCAAUAGGGUUUUAAGAAAAUUAGUUAAUUUUAUUGGUACAUUUUAGGUAUACA
ensembl:lncRNA